rnacentral:rRNA from 1 species
GAUGAACGCUGGCGGCGUGCCUAACACAUGCAAGUCGAACGAACGGACGAGAAGCUUGCUUCUCUGAUGUUAGCGGCGGACGGGUGAGUAACACGUGGAUAACCUACUUAUAUGACUGGGAUAACUACGGGAAACCGGAUCUACUAAUGGCUCAUAUUUCGUACCGCUUGGAUCAAAAGUGAUUGACGGUCUUGCUGUCUCUUUGAGCUGGUUUCGCGCUGGAUUAGCUAGUUGGUAAGGUAACGGCUUACCAAGGCUACGAUGCGUAGCCGAGCUGAGAGGAUGAUCAGCCACACUGGAACUGAGACACGGUCCAGACUCCUACGGGAGGCAGCAGUAGGGAAUCUUCGACAAUGGGCGAAAGCCUGACGGAGCAACGCCGCGUGAGUGAUGAAGGUCUUCGGGUCGUAAAGCUCUGUUAUUAGGGAAGAACAGAUGUGUAAGUAACUGUGGACAUCUUGACGGUACCUAAUCAGAAAGCCACGGCUAACUACGUG